GGGGCGCUGCCGCAUGACGCGCGGCGCGAUUAACCGAACCGGUCGCGAGCAUGCAGGAAAGAUAGAUGUUAGGCUAAUAUUCGAGGAAAAUUAGAUCUAAUCAUAACUAGACUAAGCUAAGCAAGCAGAAAUUACAAUAUUUAGGGGAAAUAUUUUGACCACCCCCACGUUUGCGUAGAGACCAAUUAGAUGCUAUUGAUCGUUCUGACAAUGAAACAAAUAUCCAUGUACAUGUAUGGUGUGGGUGAAGGUGUAGGUGUAGGUGCUGUAAGCAUUAUAAAGA
rnacentral:lncRNA from 1 species